GUCCAGUUCAGUUCGUUCCCAUCCAGUCUAAUCCAGACCCACUUUUCAAUCCGUGCAGAAGGUGGUCCAUUGAAGUCUGAACACGUACUUAUACAAUAAUUAAAGAAG
rnacentral:lncRNA from 1 species